rnacentral:rRNA from 1 species
AUUGAACGCUGGCGGCAUGCCUUACACAUGCAAGUCGAACGGUAGAGUAGCAAUACUUGAGAGUGGCGAACGGGUGAGUAAUAUAUCGGAACGUGCCCAGUCGUGGGGGAUAACGUAGAGAAAUUUACGCUAAUACCGCAUACGAUCUACGGAUGAAAGCGGGGGAUCGCAAGACCUCGCGCGACUGGAGCGGCCGAUAUCAGAUUAGGUAGUUGGUGAGGUAAAGGCUCACCAAGCCGACGAUCUGUAGCUGGUCUGAGAGGACGACCAGCCACACUGGGACUGAGACACGGCCCAGACUCCUACGGGAGGCAGCAGUGAGGAAUUUUGGACAAUGGGCGCAAGCCUGAUCCAGCAAUGCCGCGUGCAGGAUGAAGGCCUUCGGUUGUAAC